rnacentral:SRP_RNA from 2 species
GCCGGGUGUGGUGGUGCACACCUGUAAUCCCAGCUACUUGGGAGGCUGAAGCACAAGAAUUGCUUGAACCCAGGAGGCGGAGGUUGCAGUGAGCCAAGAUCAUGCCACUGCACUCUAGCCUGGGCAACAAAGUGAGACUCUGUCUCAA